rnacentral:rRNA from 1 species
AUUGAACGCUGGCGGCAUGCCUUACACAUGCAAGUCGAACGGCAGCGGGCCUUCGGGUGCCGGCGAGUGGCGAACGGGUGAGUAAUGCAUCGGAACGUGCCAUUGAGUGGGGGAUAACGUAGCGAAAGUUGCGCUAAUACCGCAUAUUCUGUGAGCAGGAAAGCAGGGGACCGCAAGGCCUUGCGCUCUUUGAGCGGCCGAUGUCAGAUUAGCUAGUUGGUGAGGUAAAGGCUUACCAAGGCGACGAUCUGUAGCGGGCCUGAGAGGAUGAUCCGCCACACUGGAACUGAGACACGGUCCAGACUCCUACGGGAGGCAGCAGUGGGGAAUUUUGGACAAUGGGCGCAAGCCUGAUCCAGCCAUGCCGCGUGAGUGAAGAAGGCC